rfam:Ovis aries breed Texel chromosome 17, whole genome shotgun sequence.
UCCCUGAUGGUUCAGUUGGUAAGGAAUCUGUCUGCAAUGCAGGAGACCCUGGUUUGAUUCCUGGGUAGGGAA